CUCUGAACUAGUUUAUUCACUGAUUUGGGGGUUAUCUGAAAAAAACGAAGACACAGCAACUACCUGGCAGCAUUAUUGUGACAAUUAAUUGAGAUACCCCAUGUAGACUGUGGGUAGAAGGCUGAAAAUAACAUGAAGAUGUUUUUACACAACUUAUAGCAGACAGUGUGGUUUCCUGGAUGCUAAAAAGGCUACCAAGACACAAUCAACCCCCUUACAAUAAUCAACAUUUGGAUAACUACAGAGUCCAACACAUCAGAAAUCUUAUUCGUUGAUUUGAUGAUCAACUCAACAAAACAUGUAGAUAUAUUGCCUUAGAAUUUCCAGGGGUGGCUGUUUCAUAAUUCAAAGUAAUGGGUGCUGAUGCACUGUGUUCGAUGUUGGGCUUUCUUAAACCCUGAGGUCUCAUUUUUUCCUUCGAGAGAGCAGCUGCAUGAUGGAGCAUAAGGACUAACCAUGCAUGCCCUUCCUUAGAGCCAGGCAUGGUGGCUGCUAGGUUUCUCAGACAUCAGAUUUUGUCACUGAGUUCUAAAGAUAGCAAAAAUAUAUUCAAAAGUGAUGCUUGACUUUUGCGGUCUAAAAACCUCAUCACAUGAUUAAUAAAUCCUUCCAUGGUGAAACUCUUUUGUAAUAGAAUUUACGGUAAAAAUAUUUUCAUGUGAGUUCCACUUGGAGCUUGGGCCAUUUGAUUUAGCAGUAUUAUUAUUUGAUAGUUUUUUAGUUAUUCAACUAUGGAAAGCCCAACAGAUAAUCCUCAUAAUACUUUAAACGCAAAAUAAACUUUGGGAAACCUAGUAGCUUUCGAGAUUAGGGAGUUAGAACGAAUCAGCAAAGAGGUCUACUUGCUGGCUCUCAGAUGCAGCAAACAAUGGCUCGCCAGCUUUGCCAGUUGCUCUGCAGUUCUCCUGGCCUUUCAGCUGGUAGCUCUGUGAUAGGAGAUUAAG
rnacentral:lncRNA from 1 species